UAAACGAUCCGGAGAGUCGCUCCACGCAUUUUAUGCGUGGGGAGGAAAUUCCGAACUUCGCAGAGCACGGUGCCGUCUAGAGGGCGGGGUUCCCUGAUGAAAAUCGGGGGGCAUGGAUAGUGCCACAGAAACGAAACCUCCUCCAAGAAAUUGGGGGUAAGGGUGAAACCGUGAGGCAAGAGCUCACGUGGCGCGCGAGUAAUCGCGUGCCAGAGGAAAACCCCAUCGGAAGCAAGGUUAGCGCCCAGUACGCCUGGCUCGGGCAGGAAUCGCAAGGUUCCCUGGGGCGCGAGUGCCGCAUAGAGACAUGACUCUCGCUCCGGCUUUUAGCCGGGGAACAGAAUUCGGGGUACAGGAUUGUUGAUACA
rnacentral:RNase_P_RNA from 1 species